ACGCUCGACACCUACUGGAGGCAGCAGUGGGGAAUAUUGCACAAUGGGGGAAACCCUGAUGCAGCGACGCCGCGUGGAGGAAGAAGGUCUUCGGAUUGUAAACUCCUGUUGUUGGGGAAAAAGNGGAUGGUACCCAACAAGGAAGUGACGGCUAACUACGUGCCAGCAGCCGCGGUAAUCUGAGCGGGCUGGCAAGGC
rnacentral:rRNA from 1 species